ACAGACUCGGUGAGGCCUACUGCUCAGACUUGAAUCCUCCCAAACCUCCCUUCUCACAUAGAAGACUGAGGCCAUCUGGCACCAGAAGACCCUCGGUUUCUGAAGACGUAAAGAUUCGAAAGCCUUGGCAGUGCUCACGAAAAGGUUUGGAGUCUGCCCCUCCCACUUUGAACGGUAACAGCCUGGCACUGAGAAAUGCGUGUGGUACCUUUUCCCACACUUCUAGAGAAACAAAAGAAACAGAUAUGCUAGAAGAUGAGCUUAGAUAAUGAACGUAGCUUCUACCCAUUGCUCAUCACAUGACUUGUUGUCAGGAAUGUUCACCCAAAAACAGUUAACCCGGAAGGGAAAUUAUUGUGGUAAAAAGCUAAGGGCUUAUUACCGUCAUAUACAUUGUUGGACGUACAAAAGUGUAAAAUAGUCCAUGUGGGAUAAAAACACACCCAAUCAAAACUGAUGUAAACGAGCGAUGGCUGUGUCUCUUAGAAAUAUGUUUGCCAGCUUAUAAUCAGACCAAACACAUUCCAUCUUGAUUUAUCUGGCCUGGUUAGUACUCAGUGAGAGAAAUACAUUUGUCAGCAGUUUAGGAUGGGUUUUGUUAUAUGCUCGGGAGCCUCAAUCAGAAAGCUUUUGUUUAAAUCUUAGUAGGGAACGAGAGCUGCUUCUUCUUUUUUUUCCAGUACUUUGAUGUGUUUUGCUGGAAUUAUUACUAAAAUAACUAACCCUCCCUAAAUUCCUCAGCUCAGAAUGAUCACAUCCGAGUUAAUCCCCAAGGGCUGAGAAAUCUAAACUUCAGUGAUAACCGGCCAACUACAGUAGCUGCCGGCCAAGAAGGCAGAGCAUCAUGUAGACCCCGGAAAACCAUCUUGGAGACAGAAAUUCCUGUUGCCAGCUCGGAAACAUUUCUUGUCUGUCUCUUUCCAUCAGAUCGUAGGGAACAACAAAGCAUUUGGCAGAGGCCCGUGUCCAGUUUCCACUUAGUUGUUCCCAGCCAAUCGCAAUGUUUUGGUUUGUUUCUUCCCCAUAGAAGAAUAAAGUUCACAAAU
rnacentral:lncRNA from 1 species